rnacentral:rRNA from 1 species
UGUAGGCGGAGGUUCCAGGUAAAUCCGGUACCUUAUUAAACGCUGAGGUGUGAUGACGAGGCACUACGGUGCUGAAGUGACAAAUGCCCUGCUUCCAGGAAAAGCCUCUAAGCAUCAGGUAACACGAAAUCGUACCCCAAACCGACACAGGUGGUCAGGUAGAGAAUACCAAGGCGCUUGAGAGAACUCGGGUGAAGGAACUAGGCAAAAUGGUGCCGUAACUUCGGGAGAAGGCACGCUGAUAUGUAGGUGAAGUGGUUUACCCAUGGAGCUGAAAUCAGUCGAAGAUACCAGCUGGCUGCAACUGUUUAUUAAAAACACAGCACUGUGCAAACACGAAAGUGGACGUAUACGGUGUGACGCCUGCCCGGUGCCGGAAGGUUAAUUGAUGGGGUUAUCCUCGCGGAGAAGCUCUUGAUCGAAGCCCCGGUAAACGGCGGCCGUAACUAUAACGGUCCUAAGGUAGCGAAAUUCCUUGUCGGGUAAGUUCCGACCUGCACGAAUGGCGUAAUGAUGGCCAGGCUGUCUCCACCCGAGACUCAGUGAAAUUGAACUCGCUGUGAAGAUGCAGUGUACCCGCGGCAAGACGGAAAGACCCCGUGAACCUUUACUAUAGCUUGACACUGAACACUGGUCCUUGAUGUGUAGGAUAGGUGGGAGGCUUUGAAGUGUGGACGCCAGUCUGCAUGGAGCCGCCCUUGAAAUACCACCCUUUAAUGGCUGGUGUUCUAACGUGGGCCCGUAAUCCGGGUUGCGGACAGUGUCUGGUGGGUAGUUUGACUGGGGCGGUCUCCUCCUAAAGAGUAACGGAGGAGCACGAAGGUCAGCUAAUCCUGGUCGGACAUCAGGAGGUUAGUGCAAUGGCAUAAGCUGGCUUGACUGCGAGCGUGACGGCGCGAGCAGGUGCGAAAGCAGGUCAUAGUGAUCCGGUGGUUCUGAAUGGAAGGGCCAUCGCUCAACGGAUAAAAGGUACUCCGGGGAUAACAGGCUGAUACCGCCCAAGAGUUCAUAUCGACGGCGGUGUUUGGCACCUCGAUGUCGGCUCAUCACAUCCUGGGGCUGAAGUAGGUCCCAAGGGUAUGGCUGUUCGCCAUUUAAAGUGGUACGCGAGCUGGGUUUAGAACGUCGUGAGACAGUUCGGUCCCUAUCUGCCGUGGGCGCUGGAGAACUGAGGGGGGCUGCUCCUAGUACGAGAGGACCGGAGUGGACGCAUCACUGGUGUUCGGGUUGUCAUGCCAAUGGCACUGCCCGGUAGCUAAAUGCGGAAGAGAUAAGUGCUGAAAGCAUCUAAGCACGAAACUUGCCCCGAGAUGAGUUCUCCCUGACUCCUUGAGAGUCCUGAAGGAACGUUGAAGACGACGACGUUGAUAGGCCGGGUGUGUAAGCGCAGCGAUGCGUUGAGCUAACCGGUACUAAUGAACCGUGAGGCUUAACCUU